GACGAACGCUGGCGGCGUGCUUAACACAUGCAAGUCGAACGAUGAAGAAAAGAAUCGAAGCUUCGGCAGAAAUUCAUUUCGGAUUAGUGGCAGACGGGUGAGUAACGCGUGAGCAACCUACCUCUUACAAAGGGAUAGCCUCGGGAAACCGGGAUUAAUACCAUAUAACAUUGCGACGAAGCAUUUCGAUGCAAUCAAAGCUACGGCGGUAAGAGAUGGGCUCGCGUCCCAUUAACCGGAUGGUGAGGUAACGGCUCACCAUAGUGACGAUGGGUAACCGGCCUGAGAGGGUGAACGGUCACACUGGAACUGAGACACGGUCCAGACUCCUACGGGAAGCAGCAGUGGGGAAUAUUGCACAAUGGAGGGAACUCUGAUGCAGCGACGCCGCGUGAGUGAUGAAGGAAUUCGUUUCGUAAAACUCUGUUCUAUGGGAAGAAAAGGACUGUACCAUAGGAGAAAGCGCCGGCUAAAUACGUA
rnacentral:rRNA from 1 species